AAACGAUUUACAAGGGACUUUUAAAGACCGAUGGGAAUCUCUUGCUGGGAUCAUUUCUGCAGCUAGCGUUUUGCUCGCCGCCUUCUGCAUCCCUCCCUCGGAAAUCCAGCUCAGCUCAAUCGUCAGUAAAAACGAUCCACCCAUGGACUGAUCUUAAGGGCAGGAGCCAGAACUCAGACCUUCAUCUUCCCAGCACUUCUGUACAGCUGAAGGAGCUUUUGGGGCAGAUCCAAAAUAUUGACCAUUACAACGUUAUUGAGACACAGAAGCAUGAACCAUUCACAGCCACGCUUCUCGUACUGCAUGUGAGCAUCCGAAUUCAGGACAAGCGUGACAGAGUGACUGCGCAACUGGGUGUGAUUCUUACAGAGCAGGUGGAUUGUUACAAACACAAGCAACCAUGAAACAAGGACUUCAAACCACUUGACACACAUUAAGCACGAGUCAAGAUAAGAAAUGACUGCUCAGAUCAAGCUGCCGGGAUCUGUGGUUUUGGAGAACACCACAAAUGGAUUAAAAGAUGCAUACUGCUAUUUGAUCAGUGCCAUGAAAACUAAACAGGGCCGCCCGAUUCCUGUAGGAUGAUCCUGAACUGGCCGAAAGCUGUGCACUCCCGCAUGAGUGCCACUUCACCACACCCUUCACUCUGGUGUGCACAUCACAAUCACUGUAGCAUGCGAGGCCAACAGGCUGCUUCCUCCUCUUUUUUUUUUUUAGGAACGUCAAUGAAGAUGCUAAGUGCAUGAACAUAUUAGUUACACAACAUAUUGCUUGUCCUCUACGGUAGAAUGUAAUUCCUUAGAAAUGAGAGGUCUGGUGUGAACAUUGCAGUUGGGAACUGUUAAAAAACCACUGACUUUCAAACUUUCCUCUAUUAGGAAAGAGUUAUAUUUUUUUUUCAAAUUCAAAUUCACCCCAUUUUUGACCAGCUCUCCUUUAAUUAGCAUUUAAGAAAAUUGAUUUGCAAGUGUUUUGCAAGUAUAUGCUUUGAAUUUACACUGGUCAAAUGACUUAUUGGAGAAGGCAAUCUCACCUUACGAAGAGAGUAAAAGCCAAUGAUCCCAGGAAUUUUCAUUUGAAUUUUUGAACUUCUCUCUGUAACCAGUCUUCAGCCAGCUCUGAUUUGGAUAGCGUGAGCAACUUCCAGCCAUCUCAGGGCUGAACAAAAAAGCCUGUGCAGCAGAACUGUGAGAUUAUAAAAAGCAGCUUUAACCGAGACGGAUGAGCAACAUUUGGAUUCAAUAAAGGUACAGGUGCAUUUCUUUACAAGUUCAUUUUUCAGUGAUCACUGUGGCUGCAUUGACAGUAUAAUGUUGCUUCCAUUUGUGGUGAAAACCAUCCGCUUCCUCACCACCAAUGUGAAUUCCGAUGAUUAAAAGUCAUAUCCCAAAGUUUCUGGAAGAAACUUCUCUCCCUCCCUCCCCCCACUGCACUCUAUUUUCAUGACAGUGACCUGGACUCCCACCCAGAAGCAGCUGCGUGCUCCAGCAAAAACAGGAACCCAGCGCCUUGCAAAGAGCCUGCACAGCACUGCAGCUACUUGCCGGUGUGGCAGCAAAUACCAGGCUUGGAAAUGGCCAACGCUAAAACUUUAAAGAAUGCAGAGAUUGAGGGAGGUUCCCUUAUCCUGAGGAGAGAGUGGAUCCAAGAGAUAAUUCCAGUCUAGAAGCAUUGCCAUUGUGCAGAGCCAAACGAGGCAGAGCUA